rnacentral:rRNA from 1 species
CCCGCACAAGCAGCGGAGCAUGUGGUUUAAUUCGAAGCAACGCGAAGAACCUUACCUAGACUUGACAUCUCCUGAAUUACCCGUAACUGGGGAAGCUCUUCGGAGCAGGAAGACAGGUGGUGCAUGGUUGUCGUCAGCUCGUGUCGUGAGAUGUUGGGUUAAGUCCCGCAACGAGCGCAACCCUUAUCGUUAGUUGCUACCAUUAGGUUGAGCACUCUAGCGAGACUGCCCGGGUUAACCGGGAGGAAGGUGGGGAUGACGUCAAAUCAUCAUGCCCCUUAUGUCUAGGGCUACACACGUGCUACAAUGGUGAGAACAAAGAGAGGCAAGACCGCGAGGUGGAGCAAAUCUCACAAAACUCAUCCCAGUUCGGAUUGCAGGCUGAAACUCGCCUGCAUGAAGCCGGAGUUGCUAGUAACCGCAGGUCAGCAUACUGCGGUGAAUACGUUCCCGGGCCUU